ensembl:misc_RNA Metazoa_SRP Metazoan signal recognition particle RNA
GCCGGGUGCGGUGGCAUGUGCCUGUAAUCCAAGUCACUGGGAGGCUGAGGUUGGUGGAUCAAGUGAGCUGAGGAGCUCUGGGCUGCAGCACUCUAAGUCGAACGGGUGUCCACGCUAAGUUCGGUAUCGAUAUGUUGUUCCUGGGGGAGCCCGGGACCACCAGGUUGUCUAAGGAGGGGUGAACCGUGUAGGUCGGAAACGAAGCAUGUAAAUCCCCCGUGCUGUCCAGUAGUGGGAUAAUACCUGUGAGUAGAUGCUGCAGUGCAGCCUUGGCAAAACAUCGAGACCUAAUCUUUU